UGGAAAUGAUCUAAGCCACGUGCAACACC
rnacentral:sRNA from 1 species